AAAAGUUUUUUUAAUUCUGGCUCAGGACGAACGCUGGCGGCGUGCCUAAUACAUGCAAGUCGAACGCUUUUUCUUUCACCGGAGCUUGCUCCACCGAAAGAAAAAGAGUGGCGAACGGGUGAGUAACACGUGGGUAACCUGCCCAUCAGAAGGGGAUAACACUUGGAAACAGGUGCUAAUACCGUAUAACACUAUUUUCCGCAUGGAAGAAAGUUGAAAGGCGCUUUUGCGUCACUGAUGGAUGGACCCGCGGUGCAUUAGCUAGUUGGUGAGGUAACGGCUCACCAAGGCAACGAUGCAUAGCCGACCUGAGAGGGUGAUCGGCCACACUGGGACUGAGACACGGCCCAGACUCCUACGGGAGGCAGCAGUAGGGAAUCUUCGGCAAUGGACGAAAGUCUGACCGAGCAACGCCGCGUGAGUGAAGAAGGUUUUCGGAUCGUAAAACUCUGUUGUUAGAGAAGAACAAGGAUGAGAGUAAAAUGUUCAUCCCUUGACGGUAUCUAACCAGAAAGCCACGGCUAACUACGUGCCAGCAGCCGCGGUAAUACGUAGGUGGCAAGCGUUGUCCGGAUUUAUUGGGCGUAAAGCGAGCGCAGGCGGUUUCUUAAGUCUGAUGUGAAAGCCCCCGGCUCAACCGGGGAGGGUCAUUGGAAACUGGGAGACUUGAGUGCAGAAGAGGAGAGUGGAAUUCCAUGUGUAGCGGUGAAAUGCGUAGAUAUAUGGAGGAACACCAGUGGCGAAGGCGGCUCUCUGGUCUGUAACUGACGCUGAGGCUCGAAAGCGUGGGGAGCGAACAGGAUUAGAUACCCUGGUAGUCCACGCCGUAAACGAUGAGUGCUAAGUGUUGGAGGGUUUCCGCCCUUCAGUGCUGCAGCAAACGCAUUAAGCACCCCCCACCG
rnacentral:rRNA from 1 species